AAAAAUCAGAGGCUAAAAUUGCACAUAAAAGAACCAGAUAUACAACUGAAGGAAGGAAAAAGGAAGCUAGAAGCAAAUCUAAAGCAGAUAAUGUAGGAAGUGCAUUGGGACCAGAUUGGCAUGAAGGCUUGAAUCUUAAAGGAACAAAAGAGCAAUACUCACAGCAUCCUCACCAGAAGUAAACUCCAUCUCAGAUAACUACGUUCUUUGCUCAUCCAUGAGAAACAACAACUCAUCUUUUCAAAUUUUAUCAUGAGAUUGCAGCAAUGUAGUCUCAUCUUCAGGAUUCAUUUCUAAUUACAGUUCUUUUGUUAUUUCCACCAUAUCUGCCUUUCUCCAUUGAAAUCUUGAAUCCCUCAAAGUCAUCCAUGAAGUUUUCUCAUAAGAUUCACCUUGAAACUAUGUGUGAAG
rnacentral:lncRNA from 1 species